GACGAACGCUGGCGGCGUGCUUAACACAUGCAAGUCGAACGGUGAAGCGCCUUCCUUUUUGGUGGGUGUGGAUGAGUGGCGAACGGGUGAGUAACACGUGAGUAACCUGCCCCCUUCUUCUGGAUAACCGCAUGAAAGUGUGGCUAAUACGGGAUAUUCUGGGUCUGUCGCAUGAUGGGUCUGGGAAAGAUAUUGUUUCGGUGGGGGAUGGGCUCGCGGCCUAUCAGCUUGUUGGUGGGGUGAUGGCCUACCAAGGCGGUGACGGGUAGCCGGCCUGAGAGGGUGGACGGUCACACUGGGACUGAGACACGGCCCAGACUCCUACGGGAGGCAGCAGUGGGGAAUAUUGCACAAUGGGCGCAAGCCUGAUGCAGCGACGCCGCGUGAGGGAUGGAGGCCUUCGGGUUGUGAACCUCUUUCGCCAGUGAAGCAGGGCUGCCUCGUGUGUGGGUGGGUUGACGGUAGCUGGAUAAGAAGCGCCGGCUAACUACGUG
rnacentral:rRNA from 1 species